CGGGAAAAGCUCAAAUUUAAAAUCUGGCGGAMAWAGGCCGUCCGAGUUGUAGUCUGGAGAAGCGUCUUCUACGCCGGACCGUGUACAAGUCCCUUGGAACAGGGCGUCAUAGAGGGUGAGAAUCCCGUCCAUGACACGGACCGCCGGCGGUUUGUGAUGCGCUCUCAAAGAGUCGAGUUGUUUGGGAAUGCAGCUCAAAACGGGUGGUAAAUUCCAUCUAAAGCUAAAUACUGGCGAGAGACCGAUAGCGAACAAGUACCGUGAGGGAAAGAUGAAAAGCACUUUGGAAAGAGAGUUAAACAGUACGUGAAAUUGCUGAAAGGGAAACGCUUGAAGUCAGUCGCGUCGGCCGGGGCUCAGCCUUGCAUUCGUUUGCUCGGUUUACUUCCCGGUCGACGGGCCAGCGUCGAUUUCGACCGUCGGAGAASGGUCAGGGGAAAGUGGCACCUUCGGGUGUGUUAUAGCCUUUGGUCRCAUACGACGGUUGGGAUCGAGGGACGCAGCACGCCUUUAUUGGCCGGGGCAUUCGUGCCCACGUAUCGUGCUUAGGAUGCUGGUGUAAUGGCUUUAAACGACCCGUCUUGAAACACGGACCAAGGAGUCUAACGUGCCUGCGAGUGUUUGGGUGGAAAACCCGAGCGCGCAACGAAAGUGAAAGUCGAGAUCUNUUGNUCGUGGAGAGCACCGACGCCCGGACCUGAGCUGCUUGCGAGGGAUCUGCGGUAGAGCACGCAYGUUGGGACCCGAAAGAUGGUGAACUAUGCCUGAAUAGGGUGAAGCCAGAGGAAACUCUGGUGGUYGCUCGUAGCGAUUCUGACGUGCAAAUCGAUCGUCGAAUUUGGGUAUAGGGGCGAAAG
rnacentral:rRNA from 1 species